rnacentral:rRNA from 1 species
CCUACGGGAGGCAGCAGUGAGGAAUAUUGGUCAAUGGACGCAAGUCUGAACCAGCCAAGUCGCGUGCAGGAAGACUGCCCUAUGGGUUGUAAACUGCUUUUGUAUGGGAGUAAAAUGUUCCACGUGUGGGAGUUUGUAUGUAUCAUAUGAAUAAGGAUCGGCUAACUCCGUGCCAGCAGCCGCGGUAAUACGGAGGAUCCGAGCGUUAUCCGGAUUUAUUGGGUUUAAAGGGAGCGUAGGUGGCUUGUUAAGUCAGUUGUGAAAGUUUGCGGCUCAACCGCAAAACUGCCGUUGAAACUGGCAGUCUGGAGUAUAGUAGAGGUGGGCGGAAUGCGUGGUGUAGCGGUGAAAUGCUUAGAUAUCACGAAGAACUCCGAUUGCGAAGGCAGCUUACUGGACUGCAACUGACACUGAGGCUCGAAAGCGUGGGUAUCAAACAGGAUUAGAUACCCUAGUAGUC